GACGAACGCUGGCGGCGUGCUUAACACAUGCAAGUCGAACGAAGAGCGACGGAAGCUUGCUUCUAUCAAUCUUAGUGGCGAACGGGUGAGUAACGCGUAAUCAACCUGCCCUUCAGAGGGGGACAACAGUUGGAAACGACUGCUAAUACCGCAUACGAUCUAAUCUCGGCAUCGAGGAUGGAUGAAAGGUGACCUCUACAUGUAAGCUAUCACUGAAGGAGGGGAUUGCGUCUGAUUAGCUAGUUGGAGGGGUAACGGCCCACCAAGGCGAUGAUCAGUAGCCGGUCUGAGAGGAUGAACGGCCACAUUGGGACUGAGACACGGCCCAGACUCCUACGGGAGGCAGCAGUGGGGAAUCUUCCGCAAUGGACGAAAGUCUGACGGAGCAACGCCGCGUGAGUGAUGACGGCCUUCGGGUUGUAAAGCUCUGUUAAUCGGGACGAAAGGCCUUCUUGCGAAUAGUGAGAAGGAUUGACGGUACCGGAAUAGAAAGCCACGGCUAACUACGUG
rnacentral:rRNA from 1 species